rnacentral:rRNA from 1 species
GUAAGGAAUAUUGGUCAAUGGACGAAAGUCUGAACCAGCCAUGCCGCGUGAAGGAUGAAGGCCCUCUGGGUUGUAAACUUCUUUUAUCUGGGACGAAAAAAGGGUAUUCUUACUCACUUGACGGUACCAGAGGAAUAAGCACCGGCUAACUCCGUGCCAGCAGCCGCGGUAAUACGGAGGGUGCAAGCGUUAUCCGGAUUCACUGGGUUUAAAGGGUGCGUAGGUGGGUAUUUAAGUCAGUGGUGAAAUCUCCGAGCUUAACUCGGAAACUGCCAUUGAUACUAUUUACCUUGAAUGCCCUGGAGGUAAGCGGAAUAUGUCAUGUAGCGGUGAAAUGCUUAGAUAUGACAUAGAACACCAAUUGCGAAGGCAGCUUACUACGGGGUGAUUGACACUGAGGCACGAAAGCGUGGGGAGCAAACAGGAUUAGAUACCCUAGUAGUCC